AACGCUGGCGGCGCGCUUAACACAUGCAAGUCGAGCGAGAACCAGGGCUUCGGCUCUGGGGACAGCGGCGAACGGGUGAGUAACACGUGGGUAAUCUGCCCUCGGCAUCGGGAUAGCCCGGGGAAACCCGGAUUAAUACCGAAUAGCCUCCGGAGCCUUCGGGCGUCGGCGAAAAGGUAGCUUCGGCCUCUGGCCGAGGAUGAGCCCGCGGCGGAUUAGCUCGUUGGCGGGGUAACGGCCCACCAAGGCGACGAUCCGUAGCUGGUCUGAGAGGACGAUCAGCCACACUGGGACUGAGACACGGCCCAGACUCCUACGGGAGGCAGCAGUGGGGAAUCUUGCGCUAAUGCGGGAAACCGUGACGCAGCGACGCCGCGUGAGGGAAGAAGGCCUUCGGGUUGUAAACCUCUUUCAGGAGGGACGAAGCUACUCGGGUUAAUAGCCCAGAGGGUGACGGUACCUCCAGAAGAAGCCCCGGCUAACUACGUGCCAGCCGCCGCGGUAAAAC
rnacentral:rRNA from 1 species